ensembl:lincRNA 9830132P13Rik RIKEN cDNA 9830132P13 gene
UUCUACUAGCAGCCUCUGGAUGAAGAUGUAGAACACUCAGCACCUCUUGCACCAUGCCUGCCUGGAUGCCUUAAUUGCUCCCACCUUGUUGGUAAUGGACUGAACCUCUGAAUUUGUGAUAAAAAGAGGUACGAAUUGAAUGUUAAGGUUGCUUUACUCAGAGAUCCAGAGAUAAGAGAAGACAGUGAAUUUACAUCAUGAAAAUCUGUCAUACCUCCCAUCUCCAGCCAGCAGAUUACACAGAGCUCAAUGGAAGAAUAGAUGGUCAGACACCCUGCCACACCUCGGAUAUACUGCUUCUGUUGGCACUUCAAGACUAUAAGCUUGACACACAAGAAGCCUUUUAGGGAAGAGAACUGACGUGUAUGCUCAUGUUGAAAGCAACCCUGUGAAUUGGAUCCGAAGAAAGCUGGUGGCAGCUCUCCUCUCCCAUCUGUCCUCUCUGAGAUGUAAGAAUGGGAGCUCUCCUUACCGCAGGCCAGUUCUUCCUUUCUACCUGCCUACACCGGUGCCCUGGCAUGCGUCUGCUCUGCUGCCCUCUGCUUUAAGUUUCUGAGUAAAGAUUUUCAGAAACAAAGGACUCUGCAUCAGCCUUAUCCACCAACCAAUGAAUCAGAGCUGAGGACCGAACCCAGGGUCUUGCGCUUGCUAGGCAAGCACUCUACCACUGAGCUAGAACCCAAACCUGGAUGUUAGGGUUGCUCUUCUCACCUCAGUGAACUGAACCUAGAUAGGCUCCACAGGAAUGUCCAAAGGCCUGCCUCCUAUAUGAUUCUAUAUCUUGUCAAACGACAAUAGUAACUUUCCUAAGGAGUGAGAAGUUUUUUUUUCAUAAAACUUACUUUGAAGCCAUUACAAUGUUGGAGGCUGUCUUAGAGUUUUACUGAUGUGAAGAGACACCAUGACCAAAGCACCUCUUAAAAAGAACAUUUAAUUGGGGCUCGCUUACAGGUUCAGAGGUUCAGUCCAUUAUCACCAAGGCAGAAGCAUGGCAGCAUUCGGGCAGGCAUGGUGCAGGAGGAGCUGAGAGUUCUACAUCUUCAUCUGAAGGCUGCUAGCAGAAUACUGGCUUCUAGGCAGCUAAGAUGAGGGUCUUAAAGCCCACACCCACAGUGUCACACGUACUCCAGCCAGGCCACAGCUACUCCUACAGGGCCACACCUCCUAAUAAUGUCAAUCCUAGGCCAAGCAUACACAAAGCAUCACAGAGGCAAACGUGAAUGUCUAGCUUCUCUUCGUCCAUUCACCCCUAGACUGUUUCUGACAUUCUGAAGUUCAAAUCGUCUCUCCUCUAAGUAGUACCCAUUACUGCUCAGCUAGAAAAAUGGUUUUCUGUUGUUUUGCUGUCCAAACUAUGUCACGAAUUACCAAAUUAUUAUUAUUUUUUCCUAAAUCAUUGCUAGGAAUACGGCUUCAGUUUUAUUCCACCAUUUAUUACAGUGUCAACAUGCCCAGAAGUUUCUUCUGAACUGUAGCAGUCUGAUAGAUGGCUCCACUUCUUCUUGGGCUGAAUGAAAAAAAAAGAACAUCAGUUAUAACAUUGGGCAGUCAUGAACAUGAAAAGGAAAUGAGUACGUGAGGAAGGAAUUGUUCCUCUCUAAUACUAUCUACUCUACAGCCAUUCUCUGUGAUUAGAGGAUAAAUUGACCAACUCUGGGUAACAGCUAUAUGUUUUGUGACAAAACUUUUGGGGAGAUGUAAUGUACAUGUAUAAUCUCCAUAGAGUGGAAACUCAUGACAGACCAAAGUACAGAUAUCCCCAAAGCUAAUUUGGUGAACCAAUGAGUUUUAUUGAAGUUACUUACAGGAAUGUGAGUGUGGGGCUACUUAGAGGAGCCAAGAUGACUCAAAGACAUCUGCAUCACCAAAGUCCAGCCUAGCAUGGGUGACAGCUCACAAAGCUAAUAACCUGGAACACGCUUCACAGCUUACAGGCAGCUCAUGAGGUUGGAGAGUGUCAUCUCCAGAUAUCUAAAUUGGUCUAAAUCUUUUCCAGGCACCUCAGAUGGUUUCUGCUUCUUCCAGGUAGCUGGUCUGGUCUCAGAGUUUUCUUUGCAUCUCAGCUUGUCUGAGAGUCUUAUUUGAAACUUGGCUUUGCUACAUCUGAGCGAGACUUUCAGCAUUUAUUGCUUAUUCGGGCAGGGAGGGGGGCUUAGUGAAUCUGGUCAGUUUUGUGGACUUCCUGAAGCCAUUUUGUUUACCUCUCUGGUUAAGGGGCCUCCUGCAGGAUGGGAUGUUUUAAUCUCAGUGGAAACUGUGUACUCCUAAGGAUAAUGUGAAGUCAUGAUUCUCAGUAGAUAAUGGAAUGACAAAAAUGAAUUGUACUAGAACAAAAUUCAAAAACACAACGUUACAGAUGGAGGAAAGUUGAUUCUGACUGCAAAAAUCUCAAAUUUCCACUGAUAGUUUGUGUUUGUUACUAAUACAAGGUAAGCCUCAAAAUUUUCUAGUAUCUACUCAAAUGCUUUGACAACAUUCAAUGAGACAAUAUUUAUUCCUAGAAAUCUCUCUGUAAAAUUGUAAUUUCUGUGAAAAUUAACCUUAUUAUGAGAUUUUAUCUUACUCCAGUGAGGAUGGCUAAAAAUAAGACAGCAAAAGGUAACAAGUACUGGUGAGGAUGAGGGGAACCAGAAACCCUCAUGCACUGUUGGUGAGAAUGCAAACAGGUACAACCACGAUGGAAAUCAGUGUGAUAGUUCCUCAGGAAACUAGAAAUAGACCAAGAAAUAUCACCAAGCAAUACCACGCCUGGGCACAUUCCAAGGACUCUAUUUCUUGCUACAGAGACACAUGCUCAUCCAUAUUCAUAGUUGCUCUAUUCACUAUAGCUAAAGCAUGGAGCCUGCAUAGAUAUCGAUUGGAUGAUACAUGGAUAAUGGGAAUGUGGCGUCUCUAUGUAAUGGAAUGUAUUUAUCUCUAAAAAAAUUAAAUCAUGAAAUUUACAGGUGAAUGGAUGGAGCUAGAGAGCAGUCUAUUGAGUGAGGUAACCUAGACUUAGGUAAAUGUCACUCAUGACUUUUAUCUUUAGAUUUGUCUGUUUAAUUUGGAGUACUUGUAGAAUUCAGACAACUAGAAAGGGGCCAUGUGUGUGGGUUGAGUGGGAAGAAAGGUCUUAAGUGAGCUGGAUAGUAUAUCAUAGAUGAUAUGAAGAGGAUGGGUGUGUAAGGGGAGGAGAGGUGGGAGGGUAAGACACAGACACAGGGAGGAGAGAUAACUAACACUAAACAUAUUUGAAAAAUAUAUAUGUAAACCUACUAUUGCUUCAGCCUCUUAGAUCUAUUUGCCUAUCUAUCUAUCUAUCUAUCUAUCUAUCUAUCUAUCUAUCUAUCUAUCUAUCUAUCUAUCAUCUAUCUACCUUCAUAUAAAAGAGUUUAACUGGAAUUACCCUACACAGGUAUCAUGCUUCUCCCAAAAGCCAUUAGGUUGCCAAAUAAAACCCAAGUGCCAGGUGUAGGCUAUCUUCUCUUGAGUUGUAGGUAAGGGUUGUCCAGGAGAUGGAAUUCUGUCCCCUCCCCACCCCCAAUGAUACAGGGCAUUGCUACUGAUCCUGUCUGAGCAGCAAAACUUGAUGGUAAGACCCUACUACAGAUGACACCACACAUGAUCACGGGACAUGUUGUAUUGAGUAGGAUGGUUCCUUCUAGAUAAUGUUCAUACUUCUAAAUGGUGCUAUGUAGGUUGCUACGGGAAAACAGUCAUCAAACGUCUUACUCAAGUUUGAGUGCCAUGAGCUACAAUUAUGACUGCUGUGGCAAGGUAUAUUCCCAUGGGGGUAAUAGUGGCAUGUAUGUUAUGUGGUUAAUUAUCCCCUUUUUUAGUUGGAAUUAAGUCUGGCUCCACAGGAGAAAACACAUACCUGAUUCUAGGCAAGAACCCAUGUUUUUGAAGGAAAGGUGUUUUCCUCAAAGGGAAUGCAUGGCCAGGUCAGUGACAUGGAGAGCACUCGCAGGAGACUCUGAAUAGACUAGAAGUCAAAGGAAAAGCCGCAGAUGUGAGUCACCAGAUUUCAAAUACAUGUUCCAAAAGCAUGCCUUGGAGCAGAUGCUCCAUCCCUCUGUUAGGAUCAUGGGGAUAAUAAGCAUUUGGGGAAGGAGGAAACACCCACAUAAAUGAAGUCAUGGGUCCUGAGAAGAAAACAUGCUCUUCUGUUAGUUAUGUGAUUACAGUCCUUUAUAUAUAUCAAUAAAGUUGGGACCAUUCCGUG